AUGGCGGCAGCUCCCUCACGGCCCGGUGCCCACCACCUCCGCAGUGAUAGCGAUGGCGACGUCUCUGGAGUGAGAAACAGUGAACAAUUCGCCCAGGGAGUUAUGGAGAACAGGUUGAUUCUGGCCUGGGGCCCAGGAAGAAAUGUGAGGGAGGAAGCAAGGAAAGCACAUGGAAGGCCAGAGUUCCAGGACACAGCAGGAGGAUACUGCAAUUUGGAGCCAAAGGAGGUACCUCUGACAGACACAUCUUUCCAGCUGCUGUUCUGGAUCCACCCUGGCAUUCUGCUGCUGCAAACGUGGUUCCACAUCUGUUUGAAAUCAUGACUCAGUGCACCUAGGGAUGGGAUCAAUCCAACACUCAAAUGGUGGGAGAAGGGUCAGGGAAGGAGCACCGGGGCUUGGAACCCCAGGGAAGGAAGGAGCAGCUGCACCCCAAGGUGAUCCCAGCAGGGAGCUGGAACAGGGGGUGGGAUGGG
rnacentral:lncRNA from 1 species